UAUCCAAUACUAUUCUUAUUACGUAUCCUUUGGUUUUUUGCCCAUUACAUUACUUAAAUCAAUUCCUUGGUCUCUCUCUCUCUUUAUCUCUCGGUUCCUUUGGAUCUCUGAUCUGAGACCAAUAACUCAUCUCAAUGGCUCUCAGGAUCGUCUACGGUGUGGUGUUCCUUUCCUUCUCCUGCGCUUGCAUCAAGCUCCUUCAUCUCAUGCUCCACCCUGUCUUUUACUUCACCACAUGAUCUGUUUUCAUAUGCUCUUCAGCAUCAGAAAUGGGUUCUCCCCAAUCUUCACUACCUAGGAAGGGUCAUUUUUGUUGAGCAUGACUUCCUCGAGCUCCUCCAUGGACCCCAACAUCAUCAAGUUCUUUGGAUCAAGAGACUCACAAUUGCUCUUCUCAAUGGCCGGCCAUAGAUUGGAUUAGUUCCCUCCUUAACGAACUUCUCUUUAAACUCAGACAUCACCACUAGGAAAAUGCUCUUUUCUUCAAGUCUUUGAAUAACAUAUUAUAGCAUAAUUUCCAUUAUCUGUUAAGCUGAGAACCAUCAAGUUGCUUAAAUACAACCACUUCAUCAAGUCUUUUUCUCCUCUUUUCUAGAUAGUCUACUGUCGAACAACACAUGAAUAGAGAAUGAGUAUAAAAAAUAAUUGAAGUGUAGAUCUAGACUUGAUCACUAAACUAAUUUGAGAUUCUUUUACACAUAUAUACAUACCCUCUUAAAUAUUUCGUUCGAAGAUGUUUUCAAGAUGAUUCAAAUAAAAGUCUUAGGAGAACUAUCAGCAAUGGUUACAAUAUAUGGUGGAUGCGGUAAUUCAUUUCAUACUAAUAAUUCUUAACCAAAAGAACCUCUGUUUCCAUAUAGCUUUGAACCUCUGUUUUAGCUAAUAAUUAUAUAUAUUUAUAGAGCCUUUUGAUUAAAAAAAAAACUAAUCUGUGUUAAGCUACUUUCUGAGUCGGUGAAGCUUUACUCUGUUUUUGGAAGAAAAUGUCCCCUCUCUCUUGUGUCACAUAGAAAGAUCCAAAAGAUACAUAGCCAAAAUUAACACCACCAAACCAAACUAAAUGAAAUGCCAAAUAUACUUCAAGUACUUACUUGAAUAAGGUUAGUUAAACCUUACUAUAAAGCUCUACUGGUUUGGGGGUUGGCCUUGGCAUAGGAGGUGGACUAGGAGGCUUCUUCAAGUCAGUCAACCAACUUUGGUGUUGUUUGGCCUCUUUUUCAUGCUGAGAUAUUUCCAGUGACUAUUAUAUCUGUUAUUUGGUAGUAAUUUGGGGUCUCAUUAUGGUAUAUAUGAUUGUUUGUUCUUAUUUGAUCAUAUUAUGGUAGUAUUGGCAAUCCUUGAUCUUAGCUAGAUUUAUAUAUAUUUGGCAAUGACAGGGGAUGUAUAGUGAGAUUUUAAGGCUAUUAAUAUCUCAUACAUUGCUAGCUUUAUAGGAUAAUGUAGGCAAUGACAUGGGCUGAUCUCAAAGAGUGGGGUAAUAAGCUAAUAGGAAAUAAAUAGGAUUUAUUGAUCAUGAUAUAUGUGUUUGUUGUCUUAUAUUGGUUAUGCUCUAAGAUAAUUUUUGGUAUGAAAUAUUGCUAGAUUUGAAAUAUGGUCACUGAGAUCACAUAUGUUGAUGAUGCAUGUUUAUGGGGACUAACUGUAGAGAAGAUUUUCAUUGAUAUCAUGGUUGAUGAAGUGAAUAAAGGAAAUAGGGUAAGUGGUCAAUUUGGCUCAAAAACAUGGGAAUUUUUUUUUGAGGAGUUGCAAAGUAAAAGUAAGAAGAAAUAAUUAAUCAAACAAAUGAAGCAAAAUUUCAAUAGGUUUCACAAUAAGUAUCGCAAGUUUGCUGAGCUAUUGAAACAAAGUGGAUUUGGAUGGGAUAGCGAAACCAAUACUGUGGUUGCUUCAGAGGAAAUAUCGCAGAGUUAUCUAAGGGCACACCCAAAGGCAACACAAUAUUGCAAUAAAGUAUGUGAUCAUUUUUUAUUGUUGGAACUAAUUUUAGCAAGUCAACUGCCACCAGUCAGUUCUAUCAUCCUACUGCUUCAGGUCCACCCAACACUGAUGAUGAAAGGGAAAUGGAGAAUGAAUUUGAUCGCACAGACACACAUGAUAUUGAUGAGAAUGAUUCUACUAGUUGCUCUCGGCUUGUUGAUGAUGUUUUUAAACGUUCAACAAAAAAUUCAACAACCACAAGUACAAAGCGAAGAGUUAAGAGACAAAGAUCACAAAAAUGAGUGAUGCAAUUGUUGCAUGGACUGAGGUAGCUAAAGUAAGGGCUAAGGCUACUUUAGCUAAAGCUGAAAAAUACAAGAGUACAACUGAAGGAGGAGGAAGCCAACAAGAUGAGUUUUCUCUCACAAAAUGUAUGUAGAUCCUCGAAGGAAUGGAAGAAGUCAGUGAUGAUGCCUACAGGAAAGCUUUUGAGAAAUUUAAGGAUCCAGAUUGGAGAGAGAUUUUUAUUAAUAUGUUUGCUAUUAGAAAGAGAGGUUGGUUAGAUAGGCUUUGACAAUACUGUGAUUUGUUUGACUAUACUAUGAUAUGUUUGAGUUUUAUUUUAUGUGUGCUUAACAUUACUAUAGUAUGUUAUGUUAAGAUAAUCUAGUGGAGACUGUAACGCCCUAGUUACUCCAA